AAUGAACGUUGGCGGCGUGGAUUAGGCAUGCAAGUCGAGCGGAAAGGCCCGCAAGGGCACUCGAGCGGCGUAAGGGACAGUAAUGUGUAGGUAACGUACCCCUGGGUCUAGGAUAGCUGCGGGAAACUGCAAUUACUACUAGAUAACGUCUCCGGACCAAAGGUGUGAUUCCACCUGGGGAGCGGCCUACAUCCUAUUAGCUAGUUGGCGAGGUAAUGGCUCACCAAGGCGAAGAUGGGUAGCAGGUGUGAGAGCACGACCUGCGUCACUGGGACUGAGACACUGCCCAGACACCUACGGGUGGCUGCAGUCGAGAAUCUUCGGCAAUGGGCGAAAGCCUGACCGAGCGACGCCGCGUGUGGGAUGAAGGCCUGGUGUAACACUGUCGGAGGGAGUGAAGUGUUAGUGGGUUCUCCGAUUAACUUGUACUGAUCCUCGGAGGAAGGGUGGGCGUAAGUUCGUGCC
rnacentral:rRNA from 1 species